UGGCUCAGGAUGCCCGCUGGCGGCGUGCCUAAUACAUGCAAGUCGAGCGAACAGACGAGGAGCUUGCUCCUUUGACGUUAGCGGCGGACGGGUGAGUAACACGUGGGUAACCUACCUAUAAGACUGGGAUAACUUCGGGAAACCGGAGCUAAUACCGGAUAAUAUUUCGAACCGCAUGGUUCGAUAGUGAAAGAUGGCUUUGCUAUCACUUAUAGAUGGACCUGCGCCGUAUUAGCUAGUUGGUAAGGUAACGGCUUACCAAGGCAACGAUACCAAGCCGACCUGAGAGGGCCAAUGGCCACACUGGAACUGAGACACGGUCCAGACUCCUACGGGAGGCAGCAGUAGGGAAUCUUCCGCAAUGGGCGAAAGCCUGACGGAGCAACGCCGCGUGAGUGAUGAAGGUCUUCGGAUCGUAAAACUCUGUUAUUAGGGAAGAACAAACGUGUAAGUAACUGUGCACGUCUUGACGGUACCUAAUCAGAAAGCCACGGCUAACUACGUGCCAGCAGCCGCGGUAAUACGUAGGUGGCAAGCGUUAUCCGGAA
rnacentral:rRNA from 1 species